rnacentral:rRNA from 1 species
GAUGAACGCUGGCGGCGUGCCUAAUACAUGCAAGUCGAGCGAACGGACGAGAAGCUUGCAUUUCUGAUGUUAGCGGCGGACGGGUGAGUAACACGUGGAUAACCUACCUAUAAGACUGGGAUAACUUCGGGAAACCGGAGCUAAUACCGGAUAAUAUUUUGAACCGCAUGGUUCAAAAGUGAAAGACGGUCUUGCUGUCACUUAUAGAUGGAUCCGCGCUGCAUUAGCUAGUUGGUAAGGUAACGGCUUACCAAGGCAACGAUGCAUAGCCGACCUGAGAGGGUGAUCGGCCACACUGGAACUGAGACACGGUCCAGACUCCUACGGGAGGCAGCAGUAGGGAAUCUUCCGCAAUGGGCGAAAGCCUGACGGAGCAACGCCGCGUGAGUGAUGAAGGUCUUCGGAUCGUAAAACUCUGUUAUUAGGGAAGAACAUAUGUGUAAGUAACUGUGCACAUCUUGACGGUACCUAAUCAGAAAGCCACGGCUAACUACGUG